GGCCAGACUCCUACGGGAGGCAGCAGUGGGGAAUAUUGCACAAUGGGGGAAACCCUGAUGCAGCGACGCCGCGUGAGUGAAGAAGUAUUUCGGUAUGUAAAGCUCUAUCAGCAGGGAAGAAGAAGGACGGUACCUGACUAAGAAGCCCCGGCUAACUACGUGCCAGCAGCCGCGGUAAUACGUAGGGGGCAAGCGUUAUCCGGAUUUACUGGGUGUAAAGGGAGCGUAGACGGCGAUGCAAGCCAGAUGUGAAAGCCCGGGGCUCAACCCCGGGACUGCAUUUGGAACUGUGUGGCUGGAGUGUCGGAGAGGCAGGCGGAAUUCCUAGUGUAGCGGUGAAAUGCGUAGAUAUUAGGAGGAACACCGGUGGCGAAGGCGGCCUGCUGGACUGCAACUGACGUUGAGGCCCGAAAGCGUGGGGAGCAAACAGGAUUAGAUACCCUAGUA
rnacentral:rRNA from 1 species